rnacentral:lncRNA from 1 species
AUCAGUAUAUUUGAGUUUUCCCCCAUUUUGCCCCAAGUCCCUAACCCGCUCGCCACUCCAGAUCUGAUCUGAGAACUGAGAUCUCCAAUUCUCGAUUCCUCACUCCUUAGUCCUCACUAGUCACUCCUCAGCCUCUUGCCUUCUCGAUCGAGUCUCGACACUUCUACAGUCUCAACUUUCAAUCUCCGGCGCGGCCUCCACCUCUCCCCGUCUCAGUCUCCGACGCGGUCUCCGUCAGUCCGUCUCUCGUCUCGACCCUCACUGACUCUGACUCACUGGUCAGUGGUCACAGUCUGUCUCUCGCGCCUCUCGUCGUCGCCGACUUGACGUCUCAGUGGUCACUGUCUGUCUUGGUAUGUUCUCGACUUACCCUGAAUCUGAUGGCAUAAUGAUGUUCUAUUGAAGCUCAUAAACAGAAUCAUUCUACAAUUACCU